AUCAUUGGCGGACGCACGAGGGGGGCUGGGGUGGCUGCAGCCCCCCUCUUGAGUUUAACAGGGUUUUCUUUUUAGCAAAAAACUUCAUGUAUUUAUUAUUUUUCUAUACUUAUUUUAUGAAUCGCCUUUGAACACUUUGAAUUAAUAUUGAAUUAUCAAUCUUAGCUAUAUCUAUUGGCCUUGUUUGGUUCCCAAAAUAUUUUGCAAAAUUUCUCAGAUUUCUCAUCACAUUGAAUCUUGCGGCACA
rnacentral:lncRNA from 1 species